rnacentral:rRNA from 1 species
CAGCCGCCGCGGUAAUACGUAUGUCGCAAGCGUUAUCCGGAUUUAUUGGGCGUAAAGCGCGUCUAGGCGGCUUAGUAAGUCUGAUGUGAAAAUGCGGGGCUCAACCCCGUAUUGCGUUGGAAACUGCUAAACUAGAGUACUGGAGAGGUAGGCGGAACUACAAGUGUAGAGGUGAAAUUCGUAGAUAUUUGUAGGAAUGCCGAUGGGGAAGCCAGCCUACUGGACAGAUACUGACGCUAAAGCGCGAAAGCGUGGGUAGCAAACAGGAUUAGAUACCCUGGUAGUCCACGCCGUAAACGAUGAUUACUAGGUGUUGGGGGUCGAACCUCAGCGCCCAAGCUAACGCGAUAAGUAAUCCGCCUGGGGAGUACGUACGCAAGUAUGAAACUCAAAGGAAUUGACGGGGACCCGCACAAGCGGUGGAGCAUGUGGUUUAAUUCGACGCAACGCGAGGAACCUUACCAGCGUUUGACAUCCCAAGAAGUUAACAGAGAUGUUUUCGUGCCUCUUCGGAGGAACUUGGUGACAGGUGGUGCAUGGCC